AUUGAACGCUGGCGGCAGGCCUAACACAUGCAAGUCGAGCGAGCGGCGGACGUGUGAGUAAUGCCUGGGAAUUGCCCAGUCGAGGGGGAUAACAGUUGGAAACGACUGCUAAUACCGCAUACUAGGGGGUUCCCCAGGGGGGAUGAGCUAGUUGGUGGGUAAAUGGCUCACCAAGGCGACGAUCCCUAGCUGGUCUGAGAGGAUGAUCAGCCACACUGGAACUGAGACACGGUCCAGACUCCUACGGGAGGCAGCAGUGGGGAAUAUUGCACAAUGGGGGAAACCCUGAUGCAGCCAUGCCGCGUGUGUGAAGAAGGCCUUCGGGUUGUAAAGCACUUUCAGCGAGGAGGCGUUACUCGCAGAAGAAGCACCGGCUAACUCCGUGCCAGCAGCCGCGGUAAUAC
rnacentral:rRNA from 1 species